rnacentral:tRNA from 1 species
AAAUCGUUUAUUGUAUCUUGAAAAUACACAAAAAGUUCUUAAACUUACGAUUUU